CUGAAAUUCGCCUUCAUGAAGCCGGAAUUGCUAGUAAUGGCAGGUCAGCAUACUGCCGUGAAUACGUUCCCGGGCCUUGUACACACCGCCCGUCACACCAUAAGAGUUGGGAAUACCCGAAGCCUGUGAGCUAACAUUUAUGAGGCAGCAGUCGAAGGUAGAAUCAAUGAUUGGGGUGAAGUCGUAACAAGGUAGC
rnacentral:rRNA from 1 species